rnacentral:rRNA from 1 species
UACGUAGGUGGCAAGCGUUGUCCGGAAUUAUUGGGCGUAAAGCGCGCGCAGGCGGUCCUUUAAGUCUGAUGUGAAAGCCCACGGCUCAACCGUGGAGGGUCAUUGGAAACUGGGGGACUUGAGUACAGAAGAGAAGAGUGGAAUUCCACGUGUAGCGGUGAAAUGCGUAGAGAUGUGGAGGAACACCAGUGGCGAAGGCGCCUCUUUGGUCUGUAACUGACGCUGAGGCGCGAAAGCGUGGGGAGCAAACAGG